rnacentral:rRNA from 1 species
CAGGUGCUGCAUGGCUGUCGUCAGCUCGUGUCGUGAGAUGUUCGGUUAAGUCCGCUAACGAGCGCAACCCUCGCUGUGUGUUAUAUGUGUCGACACGGGACUGCCGGUCUUAAGCCGGAGGAAGGUGGGGAUGAUGUCAAGUCAGCAUGGCCUUUAUAUCCUGGGCUACACACACGCUACAAUGGCCAACACAAUAGGUUGCUAAGCCGCGAGGUGGCGCCAAUCCAUAAAGUUGGUCUCAGUUCAGAUUGUAGGCUGCAACCCGCCUGCAUGAAGAUGGAGUUGCUAGUAACCGCAGGUCAGCUAUACUGCGGUGAAUACGUUCCCGGGGCUU